GGGCUGGGGCUCAGUGGUAGAGCGCUUGCCUAGCAUGUGUGAGGCACUGGGUUUGAUUCUCAGCACCACG
rnacentral:tRNA from 1 species